AACGAACGCUGGCGGCAUGCCUAACACAUGCAAGUCGAACGAGAACUCCGGGUCUAGUGGCGCACGGCUGCGUAACGCGUGGGAACCUGCACUUAGGUUCGGAAUAACUCCCCGAAAGGGGUGCUAAUACCGGAUAAUGUCUUCGGACCAAAGAUUUAUCGCCUUUGGAUGGGCCCGCGUUGGAUUAGCUAGUUGGUAGGGUAAAAGCCUACCAAGGCGACGAUCCAUAGCUGGUCUGAGAGGAUGAUCAGCCACACUGGGACGGAGACACGGCCCAGACUCCUACGGGAGGCAGCAGUGGGGAAUAUUGGACAAUGGGCGAAAGCCUGAUCCAGCAAUGCCGCGUGAGUGAUGAAGGCCUUAGGGUUGUAAAGCGCUUUUACCCGGGAUGAUAAUGACAGUACCGGGAGAAUAAGCUCCGGCUAACUCCGUG
rnacentral:rRNA from 1 species